GCCGGGAAUCGAACCCGGGUCAACUGCUUGGAAGGCAGCUAUGCUAACCACUAUACCACCAACGCUGACGGUGAAACAAGGAAGCUGUCGUCGGAUUAAUACUCUCAACAUCCGCAAUUUUUAUCGUCAUGUUUGGUUUGUUCCUCCUGGCGCGCGCGCGGCUCCGCGCGCUGAAGCUAACGGCCGACACGAGCUGACCUACCUGCGGGUGGACGUUCCGGCUCGGCGGCGGCAUUAGCGGAACACCGCAGCGGUUCUGUUCGCAGUCCUCCAGCGCUGGAGUCUGGGAUCAGCCGGAUCGGAACCGCCUGCGAGUCCCACAUUCAGCCGCUAGAGGGCGAGCCUACACCACGUUACAGACCGCCUGGUCUCAGUCACGUGACUGAAUCAAUCAGCAGCACCGAGUCUUAAAAAGUGAGAUUACGGUAUUGUUCUUGUCCAGAAGUGAUGAAUAAAUUAAUAAUAAUAAAACUACA